rnacentral:rRNA from 1 species
AGCGAACGCUGGCGGCAGGCCUAACACAUGCAAGUCGAACGAACCUUUCGGGGUUAGUGGCGGACGGGUGAGUAACACGUGGGAACGUGCCUUUAGGUUCGGAAUAACUCAGGGAAACUUGUGCUAAUACCGAAUGUGCCCUUCGGGGGAAAGAUUUAUUGCCUUUAGAGCGGCCCGCGUCUGAUUAGCUAGUUGGUUGAGGUAAUGGCUCACCAAGGCGACGAUCAGUAGCUGGUCUGAGAGGAUGAUCAGCCACAUUGGGACUGAGACACGGCCCAAACUCCUACGGGAGGCAGCAGUGGGGAAUCUUGCGCAAUGGGCGAAAGCCUGACGCAGCCAGGCCGCGUGAAUGAUGAAGGUCUUAGGAUUGUAAAAUUCUUUCACCGGGGACGAUAAUGACGGUACCCGGAGAAGAAGCCCCGGCUAACUUCGUG